rnacentral:rRNA from 1 species
GACGGAGGAUGCAAGUGUUAUCCGGAAUCACUGGGCGUAAAGCGUCUGUAGGUUGUUAGACAAGUCAACUGUUAAAUCUUGGGGCUUAACUUCAAAAUUGCAGUCGAAACUGUUUGACUAGAGUAUAGUAGGGGUAAAGGGAAUUUCCAGUGGAGCGGUGAAAUGCGUAGAUAUUGGAAAGAACACCAAUGGCGAAGGCACUUUACUGGGCUAUUACUGACACUCAGAGACGCAAGCUAGGGUAGCAAAUGGG